GAGUUUGAUCAUGGCUCAGAACGAACGUUAGCGGCGCGCCUAACACAUGCAAGUCGCACGAGAAAGGGCUUCGGCCCCGGUACAGUGGCGCACGGGUGAGUAAUACGUGGAUAAUCUACCCUCGGGCGGGGGAUAACAUUCCGAAAGGAGUGCUAAUACCGCAUAGGACCACGGCUUCGAGAGAGGCUGAGGUGAAAGCAGGCCUCUAUAUAUAAGCUUGCACCUGAGAAUGAGUCCGCAUCCCAUCAGCUAGUUGGUAGGGUAAUGGCCUACCAAGGCGAAGACGGGUAGCUGGUCUGAGAGGAUGAUCAGCCACACUGGAACUGAGACACGGUCCAGACUCCUACGGGAGGCAGCAGUGGGGAAUCUUGCGCAAUGGACGAAAGUCUGACGCAGCGACGCCGCGUGAGUGAUGAAGGCCUUCGGGUUGUAAAGCUCUGUGGGGAGAGAAGAAUAAGUCGUGGCCAAUAUCCACGAUGAUGACGGUAUCUCCUUAGCGAGCACCGGCUAACUCUGUGCCAGCAGCCGCGGUAAUACAGAGGGUGCAAACGUUGUUCGGAAUUACUGGGCGUAAAGCGUGCGUAGGCGGUCUCGUAAGUCAGGUGUGAAAUCCCAAGGCUCAACCAUGGAAGUGCACUUGAUACUGCGAGGCUUGAGUACUGGAGAGGUUGGUGGAUUCUUGGUGUAGAGGUGAAAUUC
rnacentral:rRNA from 1 species